CUCUGAGACAAGGGAGACAAAGGGCAGGCGAGUUAAACCAGUGCGUGGAGAACUCGGAUGACAAAAGACAGAAAUGGGAAAAUCCAAAUGAAGCCUGUGCGUCAUGUAAAUGAGUGCCAAAUGGAUGUUGGAUCUGACAUGCCACUAGCAUGAAGGGCAACAGCCAGGGCCAUUCAUCUAUCCAACUGGGCAUUCAAUAAAUCUUCAAAGACACCCCCAGGGUACAUACCAGGUAGCAUGAAAAUGGGCCAGACAUCUUUUCAGAGUUGGAACAAUUACAAUGAAGCACUGAACUCUCUACCAGUCUAUUUGGUUUCUUACAAUCUGACACCAGUGAACAUUAGGAGGUCCAGGCAUAAGGGGCAGCUCUAUGAGAUCACAGGACACCCAGGCAGCACAGAAGAAACAAAGAAACUGCAAUGCAGAGCAGACACCUCCGCUUUUCAACCUGGCACAUUCCGUGUGACUGGAAUAGAAGGCUGAGAAAUGAGGCCAGAGAGGACCAGAAAAACAGAAGACAGAGAGAAGGAAAAUUUAUCAAGCCUUAUAGGAACAGGAAGCCCAAGCUGGGACUGGGCCAUACUGGGGGGCAGGAGACACACCCAGGACACACCUGUCAGACUGGACACUGACUUACCUCUUGGCCUCCUCUUUUCCUGGGGUACCUGACUGCUCUUGUUUCACAUCGGUUUUGACUGAUGGCUUCCGGGGUGCUGGGAAAGGAGCCAGGAAACAGGUGGAAGACUUUUCUCCUGAUAGGUGGUACCUCCCACCCCUUGUCUACCAGCAUCACCCCAACCUCAGCAUGACUGCUUGGGACAAUGAGUGUCAAACAGGAGAGGUGUGUUAGACUUCCACGAAGCAUGACAGCCAGAAGGGACCUGUGGUACUCUGGAGAAAGAGCCCACUGUUGGCCUCCUGUCUGUACUAUCUUGGGAGACGAGGAGGGAAAUGACACUCACUGAAGAA